GAGAUUGUUUGCCUUGAGUUGCACCAUGUUUUGAUUUGACAAAAAUUACAUGUUAUCUUAAACUUAAUGUUAAGCAUUUAAAAUUGUCUCAAAUACAUUUUUAAUCCCCUAAGGGUAUAUAAUUGUUUGAAAAGCCAUUCAUCAUUAGAAAACAUCUUAGAAGCUUUCAAACAAUGCAUAUUCAGCCAAGAAUGUAAGACAAACAUGCCUUGAAAUGUUAUUUGAAUAUAGGAACAAGGUAGGGAACAAAUAUGUCAUGACCCGGUACUCCCCUCGAGCCAGUGACAACCGCCGCGGUGUCCCGAUCGACACUCAUUACCCGGAAUGUCAACCCGAAACCCUACAAGGCUUUAAUAUCAAUUUCUCAUUUCCCCUAUGAGUAACCGUUGCAAAAUAUCAUGUUCUAAAAGAUUUUAAGCUAUUUCCAACUUAAAUCAAUAAAAAAAAUGAUUUCUGUCUCACAGGGACAUUUUGGUCAUUU
rnacentral:lncRNA from 1 species